rnacentral:rRNA from 1 species
UACGUAGGGUGCGAGCGUUAAUCGGAAUUACUGGGCGUAAAGCGUGCGCAGGCGGUUCUUUAAGUCAGAUGUGAAAGCCCCGGGCUCAACCUGGGAACUGCAUUUGAAACUGGCGGGCUUGAGUGCGGCAGAGGGGGGUGGAAUUCCGCGUGUAGCAGUGAAAUGCGUAGAGAUGCGGAGGAACACCGAUGGCGAAGGCAGCCCCCUGGGCCGACACUGACGCUCAGGCACGAAAGCGUGGGGAGCAAACAGG